UUUCCGUGGCUCAGAUCAGUAUCGUAGGCUGCAACUCGCCUACGUGAAAGCGGAAUCGCUAGUAAUCUCAGGUCAGCAUACUGCGGUGAAUACGUUCCCGGGCCUUGUACACACCGCCCGUCACUACCAUGGAAGUUGGCCACGCCCGAAGCCGUUACUCCAACCCUUGUGGAGGAGGACGUCGAAGGUGGGGCUGAUGACUGGGGUGAAGUCGUAACAAGGUAUCCGUACCGGAAGGUGCGGAUGGAUCACCUCCUAAC
rnacentral:rRNA from 1 species